rnacentral:rRNA from 1 species
UACGAAGGUGGCAAGCGUUACUCGGAAUUACUAGGCGUAAAGGGCAGGUAGGCGGUCUGAUAAGUCUGUUGUGAAAGCUCCCGGCUUAACUGGGAGAGGUCAACAGAUACUGUCAGGCUUGAGUAUGGGAGAGGGUACUGGAAUUCCUGGUGUAGCGGUGAAAUGCGCAGAUAUCAGGAGGAACACCGAUGGCGAAAGCAGGUACCUGGACCAUUACUGACGCUCAGCUGCGAAAGCUAGGGGAGCAAACAGGAUUAGAUACCCUGGUAGUCCUAGCCGUAAACGAUGCACAUUAGACGUGAGGGGUAUCGACCCCCUUCGUGUCGACGCAAACGCAUUAAAUGUGCCGCCUGGGGAGUACGGCCGCAAGGUUGAA